UGGGGAAUAUUGGACAAUGGGCGAAAGCCUGAUCCAGCCAUGCCGCGUGAGUGACGAAGGUCUUCGGAUUGUAAAGCUCUUUUGGCGGGGACGAUAAUGACGGUACCCGCAGAAUAAGCCCCGGCUAACUUCGUGCCAGCAGCCGCGGUAAUACGAAGGGGGCUAGCGUUGUUCGGAAUUACUGGGCGUAAAGCGCACGUAGGCGGACUCUUAAGUCAGGGGUGAAAUCCCGGGGCUCAACCUCGGAAUUGCCUUUGAUACUGUGAGUCUUGAGACCGGAAGAGGUGAGUGGAAUUCCUAGUGUAGAGGUGAAAUUCGUAGAUAUUAGGAAGAACACCGGUGGCGAAGGCGGCUCACUGGUCCGGUUCUGACGCUGAGGUGCGAAAGCGUGGGGAGCAAACAG
rnacentral:rRNA from 1 species